GCAUAGUAUUCAUUCAGCUUUAAUUGAGCAUAGCAAUCCUGAUCAAAGAAUAUUUGAUUGUUCCAGGUAAUUCCGAAAGGUUUAUCUGGGUAGCUUUUGAUGUUGCAAUUAUUUAUCCUAGCCAAGCCCACAUUGGGGUGGGUGAAUGGGGCUGGAUUGAGCUUGAGACCAGUUGUCUCGAAAGCUUUGGGGUGACGCUCAUUUGUUUCCCUUAGUUAUUUGUUAAUGUCUUGAAAUUUUGUAGAAGCUGACAAGAUCCACAGGACAAAAAAUCGAAAGGAUUGAAAUACUAAAUGGACACCAUGGAAGCCACCGAUCAUUAUCCGCUGCGCACAGCAUUCCAGGACCUCUCAUUUUCCAUGCUAUAAGCUGGGCAAGCCGGCGUCUUCCAUUUCCAUCAAGUUGUUUAAUAGGUACUAGUACCGAUUUUGCAUCUGCCAAAAAAUAACCAUACCGAGCAUUUCUUCCGUUUCCUAUAAAAUUAACCCGGGAGAAAACCUGGUAAUAUUCCCUGCGAUCUUCCUCUGUUGCAGUUCUGUUUUCCAUGACACUUUUAGAUCUCCCAAAGCAACAGCUUGGUGAGAUACCCAUUGCAUUGCCAGCCUGGAAGAAAGCAAUGUCUGGUUGAAGAUUAGGAGUGAUGACUUCUGCAUCACUCAUAUCAACGGUCAUAGGAGCGAGCUAGAGGUUGGUGAGAUGAUGUGCAAGCUGCAGAAAAGCUGCUCACAGGGAGCAACACAACCUUCUGCUUUUUAGAUACACGUGAUGAAACAGGCGGCGUAAAUUGGUUGUGUUUAUAGCUUGUGUUGGGCUAAUAGGCAUUGAUUCGUUCGCAACGUGGAUUUGCUGAAGCAGAUUUCCACGGCGUUGGAGAAUAUAAGCAUGUAUGAGACGUUUUGUUCACUGUUCUCCGUAUUUAUGCAGGAGAAGUCUUUCAAAGUGGAGAAUGAAGCGAUCUAGAUGUCAGGCUGUACCUCCUCCCUCGUGGAACCAGCCAGUGUCUGUGAACCCGGCCAAAGUUAGGUAGCGCGUUGAGGAUGGCAAUUUUGUCAACCAGGUCUGGGGGGGUGGAGAUAUGAAAGUGCCUUACCAAAUCUACCAUCAAAAAGACCUCUCAUUAAAGAAGAUAUUAUUGCAGGAUCGAUUCAUUACCGUCAAUUCCUGUAUAUAGAAUGGCUGGUAAUUCCGCUGAUCACUGAAAGAAAAUCAAAUAUUCCAUCGUAAGUAUUCUAGAUUUGAAACCAUUUGUCCAGUUGGUUGGUACCUUUGGUGCCAAAAGUUCUAACAUCAGAUUACAGAGCUUGCAAGGUGCAAUUGCGCAUAUCAAUGCGAUCAAUGAGAUUAAUGAUCUAUUUCCUCUCAUUACCAUUUUUACCAUCUCUACCAGUACUAUUAAUUAAUGAAUUAUAAAGCUUAGAGAAAUCAUUCACAUUAACUAGUUAGCUAUAGAGAUUUUUGUCCCCUCGAGCUCACUACCGGCUAGCCCUGGAGUGGUAAAUUGAGGGCGUUUACCCCACAUCCCACGGUUUUUUUGUCAACAAUCAGAUAGGGUUUUUGAGGAUCAUCGA
rnacentral:sRNA from 1 species